UACGUAGGGGGCAAGCGUUGUCCGGAAUCAUUGGGCGUAAAGCGCGCGUAGGCGGCCCGGUAAGUCCGUUGUGAAAGUCAAAGGCUCAACCUUUGAACGCCGAUGGAUACUGCCGGGCUAGAGUCCGGAAGAGGCGAGUGGAAUUCCUGGUGUAGCGGUGGAAUGCGCAGAUAUCAGGAGGAACACCGGUGGCGAAGGCGGUUCUCUGGGCAUGUCCUGACGCUGAGGAGCGAAAGUGUGGGGAGCGAACAGG
rnacentral:rRNA from 1 species